rnacentral:rRNA from 1 species
AUACAGAGGGUGCGAGCGUUAAUCGGAAUUACUGGGCGUAAAGCGCGCGUAGGUGGUUAUGUAAGUCGGAUGUGAAAGCCCCGGGCUCAACCUGGGAAUUGCAUUCGAAACUGCAUGGCUAGAGUCUGAUAGAGGGAAGUGGAAUUUCCGGUGUAGCGGUGAAAUGCGUAGAUAUCGGAAGGAACAUCAGUGGCGAAGGCGACUUCCUGGAUCAAGACUGACGCUAAGGUGCGAAAGCGUGGGGAGCAAACAGGAUUAGAUACCCCGGUAGUCC